rnacentral:rRNA from 1 species
GACGAACGCUGGCGGUGUGCUUAACACAUGCAAGUCGAACGGAAAGGCCCUGCUUUUGUGGGGUUCUCGAGUGGCGAACGGGUGCGUAACACGUGAGUAACCUGCCCUUGACUUUGGGAUAACUUCAGGAAACUGGGGCUAAUACCGGAUAGGAUCUCCUGCUGCAUGGUGGGGGUUGGAAAGUUUCGGCGGUUGGGGAUGGACUCGCGGCUUAUCAGCUUGUUGGUGGGGUAGUGGCUUACCAAGGCUUUGACGGGUAGCCGGCCUGAGAGGGUGACCGGCGACAUGGGGACUGAGAGACGGCCCAGAGUCGUACGGGAGGCAGCAGUGGGGAAUAUUGCACAAUGGGCGGAAGCCUGAGGCAGAAACGCCGCGGGCGGGAUGACGGCCUGCGGGGUGUAAACAGCUUUCGCCUGUGACGAAGCGGGAGUGACGGUAAUGGGUAAAGAAGCACCGGCUAACUACGUG